GUAAAAGACCAUUUUACCCCUCCCUGACUCAAAAGUCCACAUGUUGACCAAAACCCUAAAAGUCAACAAAAGUCAACAGCAAGCAAUACGCGGGGUGUACCAGCUCCUGUACGCGGGGCGUACCCUUGCAUUCCAGAAACGGGGGACGCGACCCAAUACGCGGCGCGUACUGGGAUUACGCCCAACGUACAUCCCAGUUUCUUACUUCCUCAUUCUAAUGUCUUAAACGAUUAAGACAUAACCCCAUAUUCCAGAUCUGGCCAUUUUAAUAUCUCUAAAUCCAUAAAGUCGAAACCUUUAAGCCUUUGCAUGGCUAUAAAGGUUCCCCACACCUUCUAACACCUUUCCUUUCUCCUCCAAAAGUCUAGAUCUCAUGCAUGGCUCAACAUUCACGUCCAAGAUUGCAUUUUUAUGAACUUACAACUCAUAUAGUCCUGGAAUAUGAUAGAUCUAGGCCAGUGGAGGCUAUUUGCUCAUAAAAUCUCCAUCUUGGGACCAAAAACCCUAGAAAUUGGCCCAAGAAGCACACCACACAAACUACAAGGCAAGAUCUGAACUUUUUACCUCGGGAAGAGGCUCCAACCUUUGUAGUCCUUAGAUCUACACUUGUCCACCCACUUCUAGCUUCCACAAUGGUCUCCUCUACUCUUUCACCACCUGGGAAUGACACUUUGAAGCUUAGAACACUCACACCCAAGCUAAAAAUGAAGGAAAUACUCUCUUAGGGUUUCUUUCUGAAAGAUGGUGGCUGAGGGACAAGACCAUCUCAUUCCUUUUAUAGCCUUCAAGUCAUAUUAGGGUUUUGAAUAUGGGCCGGUUACGCCCGGCGUAACCUUAGGUACGCCCAGCGUACCCGGAUGGACCCGCGUACAAAAUAAGCGUGCGAGUACGUGUAGCGUACUCCUUGUACUCCCAGCGUACUCACAAGCUUAGUACUUAACACAAAGGGAACUAAUAUGACAACUUGGAAAAGAUGAAGGGUUAAAUGGUUGAACCUGAAUUCCGGGAUGUUACAAUUCUCCCCCACUAGAACCAGACUUCGUCCCCGAAGUCUUAUACCGAAAACAACUCCAGAUGCUGCUCCCGCAUCUCCGACUCUGACUCCCACGUCAGCUCGGACCCCUUCCGAUGCUGUCACUGAACCUGCGCCAAUGACACCUCAUUGUUCCUCAGAACCUUGAUCUUCCGAUCCCGAAUCGCGAUUGGUCUCUCGGCAUAAUUCAGGCCUGCAUCCACCUGAAUAUCCUUCAGAGGCAUUACCGCUGACUCGUCGGCUAUACACUUCCUCAACUGAGACACGUGGAAGGUAUCAUGAAUCUGGCUCAACUCCGCAGGUAGCUCCAGAUGAUAUGCUACUCUGCCUACCCUCGCAAUCACUCUAAACGGCCCAAUAUACUGGAACCCCAGCUUGCCCCUCUUCCUGAAUCGGAUCACUCAUUUCCAAGGAGAUACCUUCAGGAGCACGAAAUCACCAACCUGGAACUCGAGCUCAGACCGUCGCCUAUCCGCAUAACUCUUCUGGUGACUCUGAGCGGUCAACAACCUCUUUCGGACUUGCUGUAUCUGCUCUGUCGUCUGGAGCACAAUCUAUGUACUACCCAUCACGCAUUGCCCUACUUCUCCCCAACAUAUGGGGGUCCGACACCUCCUCCCAUACAACAGCUCAAAAGGUGGCAUACCGAUGCUCGAGUGAUGGCUGUUGUUGUAGGAAAACUCAACCAAGGGCAAAUACGUGUCCCAACUUCGGCCGAAAUCCAAUACACACGCCCGAAGCAUGUCCUCGAGCGUCCGAAUCGUCCGCUCACUCUGUCCGUCCGUCUGUGGGUGGUAUGCGGUACUGAAAUGCAGCCUCGUACCCAACUCCUCGUGAAAUUUCUUCCAAAAUAUGGAAGUAAAUCGCACAUCUCAAUCUGAAACAAUCGAGAUCGGAACUCCAUGCCGCGAUACCACAUCCCUCACAUACAGCUAUGUCAGCCUCUCAGCAAAAGAGCUCUCACUGAUAGCAAGAAAGUGAGCGCUCUUCGUCAACCUGUCCACAAUCACCCAAAUUGCAUCGACACCUCUAGCAGUCCUUGGCAAUUUGGUGAUAAAAUCCAUGGUAACUUGCUCCCACUUCCACUCGAGAAUCUUUAACGGCUGCAGCUUACCAUGCGGACGCUGGUGCUCGGCCUUAACCUUGUGACAGGUCAAGCACCUCUCUACGAACCAUGCAACAUCCCUCUUCACACAGGGCCACCAAUACUCCUUCUUUAAAUCCAAGAACAUCUUAGUGGCCCCGGGAUGGAUCGAGAACUUCGACCUAUGGGCCUCCUCCAUCAAGAUUGUACGCGNGUGGCCCCGAGAUGGAUCGAGAACUUCGACCUAUGGGCCUCCUCCAUCAAGAUUGUACGCGCUCCGCCCACAAACGGUACCCAAAUCCGGCCCUGAAAAGUCAUAAGUCCUCGACUAUCGGUAACAAACUCUGAUACCUGCCCGAUCACCCGCUCCCUUUUGCGGUUCUCCGGUCUCACUGCCUCUGCCUGGGCCCCUCGUAUAGUGUCCAACACCAGAGUCAUCACUGUCAACCUCAUACAAACGUCUCGAAUCGGGGCGCUCUCCGCCCUACGGCUCAAAGCAUCGGCUACAACAUUAGCCUUGCCUGGGUGGUACAGGAUCUCACAAUCGUAAUCCUUUACCACAUCCAACCAUCUCCUCUGGCGCAUAUUCAGGUUGGGCUGAUCCAUCAAGUACUUCAGACUCUUGUGGUCCGUGUAUAUGGUACACCGAACCCCAUACAGAUAGUGACGCCAGAUCUUGAGGGCGAACACCACAACCCCCAGCUCCAGAUCGUGGGUGGGAUACCUCGACUCAUGAGGCUUCAGCUGCCUCGAAGCAUAUGUUAUCACAUGCCCCAUCUGCAUAAGCACUGCUCCCAAACCGGAUAUCGAUGCAUCGCAGUACACCACAAAAUCCUCCAUCCCUUCUAGGAGUGCGAGCAUCGGGGCUUCGUACAACUUCUGGCGAAGUGUCUCAAAUGAGGUCUGCUGCUCCGGACCCCAGGAAAAAGCGACACCCUUCCGGGUCAUCUUGGUAAGUGGCACGAUGAUCUUGGAGAAAUCCUUAAUAAAUCUCCGAUAAUAACCGGCCAAUCCCAAAAAGCUCCUGAUCUCGGUGGGUGAUCUCGGCACCUCCCACCUCAUGACCGCCUCAAUCUUAGCCGAAUCGACCAAUAUUCCAUUAUGGUUGACGAGAUGUCCCAAAAACUGAACCUCUCGUAACCAGAACUCACACUUGGAGAAUUUGGCAUACAACCUCUCCGAUCUUAGAACUCCAAGGAUCUCCCUCAAAUGUUCCUCAUGUUGCUCUCUAGACCUCGAAUAUACCAAAAUAUCAUCAAUGAAUACGAUCACCGACCGAUCUAGCAUCGGCCUGCACACCCUGUUCAUGAGAUCCAUGAAAGCAACUGGUGCAUUGGUGAGCCCAAAAAGGCAUCACCACGAACUCGUAAUGCCCAUAACGAGUUCUGAAUGCUGUCUUCUGAAUAUCUUCAUCCCGAACCCUCAUCUGAUUAUAACCCGACCUCAAGUCUAUCUUGGAGAACCAAGACGCCCCCUGCAACUAAUUGAACAGAUCAUCGAUCCUCGGCAACGAAUAACGGUUCUUGACCGUAAACUUGUUCAACUCCCGGUAAUCAAUACACAUCCGGUGUGAACCAUCCUUCUUCUUGACAAAAAGGAUCGGCGCUCCCCAAUGUGAGCUACUCGGUCGAAUAAGCCCUUUCUCCAAUAGCUCCUGAAGCUGCGAGGAUAACUCCUGCAUCUCUGGCGGCGCGAGGUGAUAAGGCGCCUUGGCGAUAGGCGCUGCUCCCGGAACCAAAUCGAUACGGAACUCCACACCGAAAAUCUCAAGGAUACAUCCUCGAAUCACAUCCGAAGCAUGCACUACUCGCUCAUCAGCUAUGGAAACUCACAGAGGUCGACUCAACGCCUCUCGAUGGAUACUAAUGUGCUGACUAAAUGCCAAGGAAACAAAUGAUUGACUCGCACCCGAGUCAAAUAAUACCAAAGCAGGUACAUAACUCACAAGAAAAGUACCUACGCAUAUCAUCAUAUAAGCACAAUAUCUCAAACAAAGGAUAAAAUACAUAAUACAUACCAGCCACAACAUCGGGCGCCGCGCGGACCUCCUCUGCAGUCAACUGGAAAGCUCUCCCACGAGCCUUCGGAGCCUCGACCUUCACCAGUUGAACCUCGGUAACCCUAGCAGCAGGUGCAGAUCCCUGCGCUGAUCCCUGAUGUAGCUGAGGGCACUCGGCCUUCCGAUGGUCGGUCUGGUUGCAAUGGAAGCAAACCAUAAAUCCCUUGGGGCAAUCCUUGGCGAUAUGCCCCUCAUUGCCACAUUUGUAGCAAGCACCCGAUCGAUAGGCCCCCUCGUGACCCUUGCCGCACUUCCCGCAAGUGCGGCCCUUCUAGUCUCCAGUCUUCGAAUCAGCGGACUUGGUCCGCUUGGCUGCCCGGCUGAGACUGAGCCGGCCACUGAUCCAUCCUAUGAGACUCGGCCUCCUUCCUGGCCUGAGUCUCCAACUCAAUCUCCCUCUUUCGGGCAUUUUCCUGGAGCUCAGCAAAUGUCCGGUACGUCGAGUUCGACACGAACUCCCGAAUGUCCCUCCUCAGAAUGCCCAAAUACCGGCUCAUCCGUGCCUGCUCAGUGGACACCUGCUCAGGGCAGAACAUCGCCCUCUCAUGAAACUUCCGGGUGACCACAGUAACCGAAUCAUUACCCUGCUUAAGGGUCAAGAACUCCUGAACCAACCGUUCCCUCUCCACCGGGGGAACAAACUCGUCUCUGAACAUGGUGGUGAACUUCUCCUAGGUCACCGCUGAAAUCUCUGCAAGAGUGAAGUUCACUGUCACAGACUUCCACCAAUCCUUCGCUCCCAAGCGAAGCUGGUUCAGAGCGAACCGUACCCUCAGGUGCUCCGGACAUGAACACGUAUAGAAGCAUCCCAUAAUGUCAGCAAUCCACCUCAUCGCAGCGAUCGGAUCCUGCGUCCCAUCAAACUCGGGUGGCUUCGUGUUGCUGAACUCCCGGAACAACAACGAGUCACCUCCCUAAGGCCUGGAAGCAGCCACAGCUGCUGUAGUUGCAGCGGAUGCGGCCUCAGUCACCGCGGCGUACCGCUCAUCAAAAGUCUCCAUUAGUGUGAUCUUGAUAGACCCAAACAUCUCCGGAAUCUCGGCCCUGAUCGCCGCAGCCACCUCAUCGUGGAUCAUUUGACGAAGCUCCUUGUCACUCACACCGCUCGUCUCAGGUCUGUGGCGUGUCCCAACCAUGAUGUCUCUGAAAUAUAAUAUAAUAAUAUCAAAGACUCAUUCGAGUAUGCUCACACUCGAAAUCUCGACCCUACUUGUUCCUUAGUGCCCAAAGGAUUCUUACCUAGAGUGCGCACUGCUUCGGUGUCUUCGGUAGUACGGGCCCUUAUACUACCGCCUACACCGCAUUAAUAUUCACCCUAAGUCCUCAUCCUUGGAUCCCAAAUCAAAAGUACUCUAUAUCUCACUGGCAUAGGCUACUCCUCGGGAGACCUCUCAUAAGCCCCUCACUGCUACCUACUCGCUCGCAAGCAUCACAUAGCAACACAUUCCUUCCUAGGCUAAGGCAUCACAAAAUCAGGCCACUCUAGUCCUAAUAUGAAUACCUAGCCAGCUCUAGCAUGCAUAAUAUAACAUAUCAUAUUUCAUAACACAUACGUAAGGACAUUUUGGGGGGUUUUACCGUUCGGGCGCUGACUGACCGUACACACUGCUCCGCUCUGGUUGUCUCAAAAUCUCUUGCUUUUUAGAAAAUUUAGUUUUUUUAUCGUUUGAAAAUUUCCUCAAAUCCUCAGUUUGAGUUCGGCUACGCCCGAAGGUGCAUCUGAAUCUCUCAAACCAAGGCUCUGAUACCAACUUGUAACAACGUAAUUUUCAAAACAAAAUUUUCAUUUUUCAAUAACCAUUUUCAUAUAAAAUAUUUUCAAAAAUAUCCAACAAUAGUUAUCAAAGCAUAUCGUAUCCCAAGAUCACAAAAAUCAAAUCCUCUCUCUAGUGUGUACGAGUCACGCCGGUGCCUUUCCAUGGUCCUCGUUAGUACCUGAAACACAUAACACAACAACUGUAAGCAUAAAUGCUUAGUGAGUUCCCCAAAAUACCACUUACAAACAUACGCCUUUCCAGGCCAUACUUCACACGAACUUCCGGUCCAUGUGUCUCAGGGGACUUCCGUCCCAACCCGGUAAACCUUCCGGUCUUACCCGUGUUGACCUUCUGGUCCAUAACUCCCUGACCUUCCGGUCCAUAUCAUAAUGCCUUCCGGCCCAUAUCAAACAUAGCAUAUAUAUCACAUACAUAGCGCAUACGAAACAGACAACUCAUAGCAUGUAACACACAUAUCUCAUAGCACACCAGACCUUCCGGUCACACAUAGGUACCUUUCCAGGUACAGUAUAGUGAGAAGACUCACCUCGUAUGAUAUCUAGAACCUCACGUGCUCGAUAUCUCUGAAUCUCGAAACGACAACCUAGCCUCGCCUAAUCACAACAAAUAAUCAUUCUAAUUAUUAACGGCUUUCAAGGCUAUGCUACACCCUUUUCCACUAUCCCACAGAAGGGUAAAAGACCAUUUCACCCCUCCCUGACUCAAAAGUCCACAUGUUGACCAAAACCCUAAAAGUCAACAACAAGCAGUACGUGGGGCGUACCGACUCCUAUACUCGGGGUGUACCCUUUGCAUUCUAGAAACGGGGGACACGACCCACUAUGCAGCGCGUACUGGGAUUACGCCCAACGUACAUCCCAGUUUCUUACUUCCUCAUUCUAAUGUCUUAAACGAUUAAGACAUAACCCCAUAUUCCAGAUCUGGCCAUUUUAAUAUCUCUAAAUCCAUAAAGUCGAAACCUUUAAGCCUUUGCAUGGCUAUAAAGGUUCCCCACACCUUCUAACACCUUUCCUUUCUCCUCAAAAAGUCUAGAUCUCAUGCAUGGCUCAACAUUCACGUCCAAGAUUGCAUUUUUAUGAACUUACAACUCAUAUAGUCCUGGAAUAUGAUAGAUCUAGGCCAGUGGAGGCUAUUUGCUCAUAAAAUCUCCAUCUUGGGACCAAAGACCCUAGAAAUUGGCCCAAGAAGCACACCACACAAACUACAAGGCAAGAUCUGAACUUUUUACCUCGGGAAGAGGCUCCAACCUUUGUAGUCCUUAGAUCUACACUUUUCCACCCACUUCUAGCUUCCACAAUGGUCUCCUAUACUCUUUCACCACCUGGGAAUGACACUUUGAAGCUUAGAACACUCACAC
rnacentral:lncRNA from 1 species